CCUCUCGUGGCAUAGAGGUAACGCGCCCUAUCUAGAGAACAAGGAGUCGUGAGUUCGAUUCUCACCGAGAAGA
rfam:Aedes aegypti strain Liverpool supercont1.108 genomic scaffold, whole genome shotgun sequence.